UACGUAGGGGGCGAGCGUUGUCCGGAGUUACUGGGCGUAAAGCGCACGCAGGCGGUCUGCUAAGUUUGGAGUGACAGUUGGUGGCUCAACCACCAAAGUGCUUUGAAAACUGACAGACUUGAGGGCUUCAGAGGGACACGGAAUUCCGGGUGGAGUGGUGAAAUGCGUAGAGAUCCGGAGGAACACCAAAGGCGAAGGCAGUGUCCUGGGGAGUACCUGACGCUCAGGUGCGAAAGCCAGGGGAGCGAACGGG
rnacentral:rRNA from 1 species